rnacentral:lncRNA from 1 species
AUCUGCACAACCAUAUUUUGACAGUUAAUAUUCUGGNNNNNNNNNNAGUUCAGUUGCCAUACAUAAUUACAUUCCAUUCAGUUCCUACAAAAAAUACAGUCAAUGCUUGUUUUUUAGGAGGAAAUUCUAAUUUUUCAGAUUCCUCUUUGCAGGCUUGAUGUAGGCAUCCUGGCUGAAUUAUUCAGCAGCCAUCUUGCAGAGGUACUAAGGAAAAACCAGAGACUGAGAGAGUUAGACUUGUCACUCUGGAACGCAGAUGAGAAAACAAUGGAAUUGCUGUGUGAUGGGCUCAAACAUUCAAAGUGUACAAUCGAUGUUUUUCAGUUGGAUGAAAACUAUAAAAUGCUGAGUGUAAAAAGGAUGGAUGUGGACCACACGGCUAGCGUCUCCGAUGCAAAUACUGGUUAUUCAUGCUUGCUUGUUUGAUCUAUUUUAUUUCCAUUCAGAAAAUGGUUGGGAAGAGUUGCAUUUUAAUAUACUUCAAGUGAAGAUCUGAAGAACUUUUUUCAACAACUACGGUAUAAUCUGAACUGAGGACUUUUCUCUUUUUCCAAGUGAAAAAUGCCAAGCUAGAAAGUUAAAAGGUAGCAUGCAAAUCUGUUCAUGGAAAUGUGAAUAACAAAGCAUAACUAUUUUUAUAUUUUGUGACAUAUUUUAUCCUCUGCUGUCUGAAUAAGGGAAGGAAACAUUGAUUGAAUAAUUGACCAUUUGAUUAGGUGCUACCUAGUCCAUGUUGUUUCCUAGGGGCCAUAUAGAUUAGAGCUAUUCUGUUUUCAAUAGAAGAAAAUAUUUGUAAAUCAGGAUUGAACCAUGGAGUCUUUGUGCUUGUGAUCUUGGUUGUUUUCUUGCAAAUGUUUCAGCUUCUAGUACUGAAGAUGUUAGCUAGUUGGGUAAUGAAACAUCUGCAAGAAAACAACCAAGUUCAAAGAGCUGCAAGGACUCCACUCUUCUGUUUUCUAUGAUUUACGAUGCAGCCAUGGAGACAUUUAACACUCACAAGAAUUUAUUGGAAUUUGUAAAAUGAGGAACUAUAAAUAAUUGUGUGUAUGGAUAUGGAUAUGGAUAUAUAUUCAUAAAUAUAUAAAUAAAUACAAA